rnacentral:lncRNA from 1 species
AAAAAAACCACACACCGUCGUACUUUACAAUAUAGUGUACCCAACAUCAACCAUUUUAUAUCUGCAAAUAAGAAAACCGAUCAUUCUUGAAAAAUAUUUUUUUAUGGUUCAAAUAGAUGUCAAUAUAAGUCAUUUUAGAAGGUUUAAAGUUUUGAAUUUUCUUUCCAUGAUUGUAGUAUUUUCCAGAAUUCAUUCUGUCUCCUGCAUAUUUAUACCCAAUCCUUCCAAUUCAAAUGUGACUUUGUU